rnacentral:rRNA from 1 species
UACGGGGGGGAGCAAGCGUUGUUCGGAUUUACUGGGCGUAAAGGGCGCGUAGGCGGCGUGACAAGUCACUUGUGAAAUCUCCGGGCUUAACCCGGAAAGGUCAGCCGAUACUGCGGGGCUAGAGUGCAGAAGGGGCAACUGGAAUUCUCGGUGUAGCGGUGAAAUGCGUAGAUAUCGAGAGGAACACCUGCGGCGAAGGCGGGUUGCUGGGCUGACACUGACGCUGAUGUGCGAAAGCUAGGGGAGCGAACGGG